rnacentral:rRNA from 1 species
CCCUUAGAUGUCCGGGGCCGCACGCGCGCUACACUGAAGGAAUCAGCGUGGCUUUCUCCCUGACCCGAAAGGGUUGGGAAACCCGUUGAAUCUCCUUCGUGAUAGGGAUUGGGGCUUGAAAUUGUUCCCCAUGAACGAGGAAUUCCCAGUAAGCGCGAGUCAUAAGCUCGCGUUGAUUACGUCCCUGCCCUUUGUACACACCGCCCGUCGCUACUACCGAUUGAACGGUUUAGUGAGGGCCUCGGAUUGGUCUCGGCCCGCUCUUCACCGGGCGGCGCCGUUGGUCGGGAAGACGCUCGAACUUGAUCGUUUAGAGGAAGUAAAAGUCGUAACA